rnacentral:rRNA from 1 species
UACGUAGGGCGCGAGCGUUGUCCGGAAUUAUUGGGCGUAAAGAGCUCGUAGGCGGCCUGUUGCGUCCGCUGUGAAAUCCCGGGGCUCAACCCCGGGCUUGCAGUGGAUACGGGCUGGCUAGAGGCAGGCAGGGGAGAACGGAAUUCCCGGUGUAGCGGUGAAAUGCGCAGAUAUCAGGAGGAACACCGGUGGCGAAGGCGGGACUCUGGGCCGAUACUGACGCUGAGGAGCGAAAGCGUGGGGAGCAAACAGG